rnacentral:rRNA from 1 species
ACAGCAGCAGCCGCGGUAAUACGAAGGGUGUAAGCGUUAAUCGGAAUUACUGGGCGUAAAGCGUGCGUAGGCGGUUUGUUAAGUCUGUUGUGAAAUCCCCGGGCUCAACCUGGGAAUGGCAAUGGAUACUGGCAAGCUAGAGUGUGUCAGAGGAUGGUGGAAUUCCCGGUGUAGCGGUGAAAUGCGUAGAGAUCGGGAGGAACAUCAGUGGCGAAGGCGGCCAUCCGGGACAACACUGACGCUGAGGCACGAAAGCGUGGGGAGCAAACAGGAUUAGAUACCCCAGUAGUCCCUGUCUCUUAUAC